UACAGAGGUCCCAAGCGUUGUUCGGAUUCACUGGGCGUAAAGGGUGCGUAGGUGGCGAGGUAAGUCGGAUGUGAAAGCUCGGAGCUCAACUCCGAAAUGGCAUUGGAAACUACCUUGCUUGAGGGUUGGAGGGGGGACUGGAAUUCUCGGUGUAGCAGUGAAAUGCGUAGAUAUCGAGAGGAACACCAGUGGCGAAGGCGAGUCCCUGGACAACACCUGACACUGAGGCACGAAAGCCGGGGGAGCAAACAGG
rnacentral:rRNA from 1 species